AGCGGAAGGCCCUUCGGGGUACUCGAGCGGCGAACGGGUGAGUAACACGUGAGUAACCUGCCCCUGACUCUGGGAUAAGCCCGGGAAACUGGGUCUAAUACCGGAUACGACCGGCUUCCGCAUGGGAUGCUGGUGGAAAGAUUUCUCGGUUGGGGAUGGGCUCGCGGCCUAUCAGCUUGUUGGUGGGGUAGUGGCCUACCAAGGCGACGACGGGUAGCCGGCCUGAGAGGGCGACCGGCCACACUGGGACUGAGACACGGCCCAGACUCCUACGGGAGGCAGCAGUGGGGAAUAUUGCGCAAUGGGCGGAAGCCUGACGCAGCGACGCCGCGUGGGGGAUGACGGCCUUCGGGUUGUAAACCUCUUUCAGCAGGGACGAAGGUGACGUGUACCUGCAGAAGAAGCGCCGGCUAACUACGUGCCAGCAGCCGCGGUAAUACGUAGGGCGCAAGCGUUGUCCGGAAUUAUUGGGCGUAAAGAGCUCGUAGGUGGCUGGUCGCGUCUGCCGUGAAAGCCCGCAGCUUAACUGCGGGUCUGCGGUGGAUACGGGCCGGCUGGAGGUAGGCAGGGGCAAGUGGAAUUCCUGGUGUA
rnacentral:rRNA from 1 species